UACAGAGGGGGCGAGCGUUGUUCGGAAUUACUGGGCGUAAAGGGCGCGUAGGCGGCUUGCUAAGUCGGACGUGAAAUCCCUCGGCUCAACCGGGGAACUGCGUCCGAUACUGGCGAGCUUGAAUUCGGGAGAGGGAUGUGGAAUUCCAGGUGUAGCGGUGAAAAUGCGUAGGAUAUCUGGAGGAACACCGGGUGGCGAAGGCGGCAUCCUGGACCGAUAUUG
rnacentral:rRNA from 1 species